rnacentral:rRNA from 1 species
UACGUAGGGUGCAAGCGUUAAUCGGAAUUACUGGGCGUAAAGCGUGCGCAGGCGGUUGUGUAAGACAGGUGUGAAAUCCCCGGGCUUAACCUGGGAAUUGCAUUUGUGACUGCACGACUAGAGUGUGUCAGAGGGGGGUGGAAUUCCACGUGUAGCAGUGAAAUGCGUAGAUAUGUGGAGGAACACCAAUGGCGAAGGCAGCCCCCUGGGAUAACACUGACGCUCAUGCACGAAAGCGUGGGGAG